ensembl:lncRNA
GGCACUUUUCGCUAGUUUCCCUCAAAAGAGGACGAAGUGGCGGUCCCGUCGGACGGGGGUCCGAGGGGCUGGAGGUCCGGGGGGCCACCAUGGCGACAGGCUAACAAUAGCAGGUUUAGCUCCGCGUCCUACAGCGGGUCCUCACUAGUUGGAGAGCGGUGAUCUCCUCCUUCCAGCCCGCGGGGAUUCUCCACUUAAAGCCUCUUUUCGGUACCACUUGUGGAGCAGAAGGGCUGAAGGUGGAGAAACUUGGUGGAGUUUUGGUCGUGGGUGGGGUGGUGGGGGGGGGUGAGGGCUAGCCCGUUAGCGCGGGUUAGCUAAUUGUGUAGAAGCUUGAGAGACACGAGGUGCUCCGACCGUGAGGUGAGUCAGGUCCCCCGGAUCCCCCCUCACCCCAGAGACCCGCCGAGAGCACCCGGCUCCCGGGAGGCGAACCCCCCGUAUCCCCCUCAGAGGCUGGACAGGGGUCCCCUCCUCGGGCAGAACUAAGUAAGACCGGGAGGGUUUAGUCCACCGGGGUCUGGUGCUCUUGGACCGGGGGGGUUAGGACUGAGGCCAGGCGGUCACUCCGUGUGGAGCCGCGGGUUUGUUAUUGACCACCUGGUCCUCGUGGUUUAGACCUUUGAAAUUCGGGUCCACUACUCCGGGUCCGGUCCGGUCCCGGUCCGUUCCGUUCUUAGCGGGUAAACUCCUGCGAAGUGAAGCGCUUCUCCUUGCCGUCCGGAGCGACGCGCGCACUGCGCCGACAGGCUAAUUAGCCAUGCUAGCUCUGGAGCUAAGCCCAGCUAGGACACGUUAGCCUGUUAGCUGCUAAUCUUUCUUAUUGUCUGAACCCGGCGGCCACAAACACGUCCACCGCCCGCCGACCUCUAGCUCCGAGCGGCCGUUAGAACUCUUCGCCUACGGGACAGAAAACCCUCCGACCGCCCCGGGCUCACUUAUCAGUCCGCAAAGUAAAGUAAACUUCUUUAUUCUCAACUUCUUCACUAUUUCCGCGUUUUAUAAGUUCUCUCGGACUUUAUUCGGGGCAGAAUGUUGUGUUCGGUGCGGCGGCGUCACUUGUUACUUGGCUGGGUGUCGCUGAGUUACGGACCCGAGCACCUGCCGCUGCGGCUGGUCACUCGGCGGGGCUCUCCCCCCGGCACUGUUGAUCUCUCCCCCCGGACAUGUGGCUCUGUCUGCCCGCUGUCUCCGCUCCUCGUCCCGGAGUCGGCCAACUUGCCCAAUGGUCACCCAUCGCAACUUUGAACCUACCACUGUGUCGAAUCUGAGCCAUUAAACUGAUUCAUAAUGAGGCUAAAUCUUCACUUGUUUUGAUCCGGGUAGGGCCGACACCUGAGCGGUUAGACCCGCUCUGGAGGUGAUGUGCUGCGGGUUUAGCGGUCCUGGGCGCCGUGGUGAGCCCUGUGUGUUUGAGCCAAGAUGGCAGCUCGUCGUAUGGUGCGGGCAACGGUGGGGAAGAUAAGGGGCCACACGCACACACACGCACCAGAUGUGAGCCACUAUUGUGGUCCUUUCUUGUGGUUACGGUACUUUUCCCCAAACCCUACCCGGGCUGAGGGCUCGUCGAGCGUGUUUACAGCUUUUUAAUUUUCCAUUCCGAAGGCAUGUGAAACGGUUUGGUUAUAAUAGUUAGUUUUGAAGGAAGUAGGAUGUUUAAAACCCUCGGAAGUGCUGUCGAUUCUGAACCAGAUGGGGUCUUAUCUCCAGAAUGAUGUAUGGUUCAGUUCUCAAGGAGAGGGUACAGUAUCCUGGUGCAGAUAUGUCUGUACUACACGUGUACUACUCCAUUGAGAACUUUCCCGGUUAUCCAGUGUUUCGGAUGUUUGAACGGUUGGUCCGUCAGUCUUGUUCUGUUAACACUUCGCUGACAACAAGGUGUGUGUGUGUGUGUGUGUGUGUGUGUGUGUGUGUGUGUGUGUGUGUGUGUGCCAUAUGUGUGUAUGUGUUGGUGCCAUAGUGUGUGUUGUGUCUCUGGUAUUGCGUCCAGUGUGAACUCUGACCCUUCAUGACUACACUGAUGUGAUUGUUCUGCUGCCAGAGAGAAUGUCUCAUUGUUUACUCUCUCUCUGUCUGUCUGUCUCUCUGUCUCUCUCUGUCUCUCUCUCUGUCUCUCUCUCUGUCUCUCUCUCCAUGAUGUCUCCCUCCCUGUCCCCCUGUAUUGAAGCUCUUCUCUGCUGUGUGUUGAAGUUCACAGCUGGUCUCGCCAACGUAUGUUUGUGUGUAGGCUCCUCCUGAUUGGUCUGGUGAACCGGGUUCUGCAGGGGUUCCACCUAUCACUGAUCCCCAGGUCUCAGUAGAUUCCUUCACCGACGCUGGGUUCCUUCUGGUCUCUGAAGCAGGAUGCCCCUCUGGGCCCCAGCGGACCCCAGUGGGCCCCAGUGGACCCCAGUGUCCUCUGGUCGGAGUCUUCCUCCCCAGAACAACAUGGCGAAUUUGUAAAUAUAGGCCUAAAGCAAAGAUGAAAGGUUUCUAGAGACGAACACACCUAGCAUUGUGCACCUGUCUGUGCUGGCUUCUUAUUGGUCAAUUAGCCCUGCUGUCAUGGUUGGUUGCCAUGGUGUUGCUGUGAGGAGAGAAUCAACAGUUCCACCAGCAGCCUGUUGUUUGGUGUUGUGAGGGCAGCCAUUUUGUCCUCUGUCAGGGCACAUGGUGUGUGACCAGGGGGAGGAGGAGGAGGAGGAGGAGGAGGCUGCACUGUGUCUUCCUCUCCAUCUAUCAUUCUGCCAGCUUCAGCCCACAUGGCUCUUCCUCAGACGGCACUGGCCUCCCCCAUCUCACCGGCUCCCUUACCCGUCUGUUUCUCUCUCCAUGUCUCUCCUUGUCUGUCUUUCUGUCUCCCUCUGUCCUGGUCCCUGUCUCCCUCUCUCCCCCCCCCCUAGUCUCUCUCGUUCUCUGAAAGGUUAGCGGUAGCAUCUCUCUCCAUGGUGACAUUAUAACUGAGUGUCAUCACAGCCUGUGUGUGUCCCUCUCCUCCCCCUCUCUCUCCACGUCUCCUCCCCCUCCAUCCUGUCACCAGCCUCCCCCAUGGCGAGGACCUUAUGGACUCAGUGCCUCAGAGAGGGGGAGGGCUGGCGAGAGACUGAUUCAUUCCCUCCACUGUUGUGCUGGCUCUGUUCAGAGGUGUGUGAGAUGUAUCUGACCUGUGAUGUGACCAAGAGAUGGUGGGAAAGUUCGGGUCAAUCAAUCCUUGACCUCACACUGUGUGUUCUGUUUGGUUCUGAGCCUGUCUGUGUGGUUCUCUCUGUGCGUGUGUGUGGUUCUGUCUGUGCGUGUGUCCGUUGUGGUUCAAGGCUGUGAUUCUUGGAGGAGGAGCAGCGGAGCUCACUUGAGUCACGCUCCUUCCGCCGAGGCCCUGGUUCAAAGGUCACCAGUUGGUAGCAUCUGAAACGUGUAAUUAGUAUUGUGUCAUCAGACCCCGCC